GUUCAUACAUGACCUGAUAAUACUUUAGAAUGUUCAUGACAAUUAUGGAUAUUUCUCACAAGAAAAUCAUCCAGUCAAAAAUUUCGGAGAUUCCUAACAAGGAAGUCAUCAAAGAUAAAAUAAACGGAAGUCCUCUUAUGAGAAGGACAUCAAAUCUUCUAAGGAAUUACUUUCAAUGAAAGAGUCAAACCGACAACUUUCUAGAAAACAUCAAGACAAAUAGAGUAUAAUAAAAACCAAACUAUGGCUCAAGGGUGCAAAAGAAUAACUGGUCUUUGAA
rnacentral:lncRNA from 1 species